rnacentral:piRNA from 1 species
UGACACCUUUGUCUGGUCCCCGUGAUUUU